UACGUAGGGUGCAAGCGUUAAUCGGAAUUACUGGGCGUAAAGCGUGCGUAGGUGGUUUGUUAAGUCUGCUGUGAAAGCCCUGGGCUCAACCUGGGAAUGGCGGUGGAUACUGACAAGCUAGAGUGCGGUAGAGGAGGGUGGAAUUCCCGGUGUAGCGGUGAAAUGCGUAGAGAUCGGGAGGAACAUCAGUGGCGAAGGCGGCCCUCUGGACCAGCACUGACGCUGAGGCACGAAAGCGUGGGGAGCAAACAGG
rnacentral:rRNA from 1 species